UUAAAACGGGUCGGAUCCGACGAUGGGUUGCUGCCGGAGCUACUGAUUCCGCCGGUGGAUUUGUAGCUGGCGAUUGCUCUGGUGCUGGAGCUACUGCCACUGCUUUGGAAACUGCCCCAAAACAAAUUAAAUACGUUUGGGUUAGUUUGAAUACUAAACUUUUGUAGGUUUUUGCAGUUAAAUUCAUUGAUGAACAAGAAUGUUACCUUGUGGGCUUAGUUUUGGAGAAAUAGCUGCUGUAGAAGUUGGUGCAGUUGGUCCAAGUGAGAUGGGUCCUGUCAAGUACAGAAGGAUCAAAAUUUGAAUCCUCUCUCACUCUGAAUUUUCAUUAAUUAAGUGAUGUAUAAGACGUUUGGUGAGAAGUAGAGAAUAUUAAUCAUACCUGGGGAUGGCAGUUGAGAACCAGUCGCUGCAAGAUAUAUCAAGAUCAACAUUAGAACUCUAGCGAGGAAAUUCUUACAUCUUCCAACUUACAUUUAGAGCCCCUUUGGCUUGACUUUUUAUGGGCUUAAAGACACAUUUUUAGGCACUAAUAAAGAAUGGUUUUUUAAGCACUUAGAAAGUCAUUACAAGUAGUGCAUUGCGUUGGUCUUAUUUGCUAAACUGUAAUAUGAAAAAGGGUGUGAUGACUGAUGAUGAGUUUUUAGUUUUUACUACCUUUGCAUUGAGCAGGAAGGUUGCUGAUGUUGCAAGAACUUGGAAGGAUGAGACCAAGGGCUGCAUUGAUGGGCAGAGGAACAGGCACGUUAGCAGUAAGUAAAAG
rnacentral:lncRNA from 1 species